rnacentral:rRNA from 1 species
GUCCCCUUGGUUUGAAUAAGGGGUCUGGCCUGCCCACUGACGGUGUUUAAAGGGCCGCGGUAUACUAACCGUGCGAAGGUAGCAUAAUAAAUAGUCUUUUAAUUGAAGGCUUGAAUGAACGGUCGGACAUAAGGAAAGCUGUCUAACAUCCUGUGGGAAUGAAUUUAACUUUUGUGUGAAAAGGCAUUAAUAUCUUGGGGGGACGAUAAGACCCUUUAAAACUUGAUCAUUAGUUCGGGCUACUGUGAGUUGGGUUUAAUAUAGUAGCCAGGGGGUUGAUUUUGCUGGGGCGGCAGGAAUAAAAGUAGUAACUGUUCUGUUAUUGAGAUAGUGAUAAUUAGGAUUUGACCCCGGAUUCCGGGUUAAAAGAGUAAGUUACUUAAGGGAUAACAGCGUUAUCUUCCUUGAGAGUUCAUAUCGACAGGAAUGUUUGCGACCUCGAUGUUGAAUUAAAAUUUCCUUCGGGGGCAGAAGUUCGAAUGGUAGGUCUGUUCGACCUUUAAAAUUUUACAUGAUUUGAGUUCAAACCGGUGCGAG